GAGAAUGAUGAUUUCUCAGGCUAAAGUCUCUGACACUGGUAUUGAUGACAAAAAUUAAGUUCUGACUC
ensembl:snoRNA